UACGGAGGGGGCUAGCGUUGUUCGGAAUUACUGGGCGUAAAGCGCGCGUAGGCGGGCUGUUAAGUCGGGGGUGAAAUCCCGGGGCUCAACCCCGGAACUGCCUUCGAUACUGGCAGCCUAGAGGUCGAGAGAGGUGAGUGGAAUUCCGAGUGUAGAGGUGAAAUUCGUAGAUAUUCGGAGGAACACCAGUGGCGAAGGCGGCUCACUGGCUCGAUACUGACGCUGAGGUGCGAAAGUGUGGGGAACAAACAGGAUUAGAUACCCUGGUAGUCCACACCGUAAACGAUGAAUGCCAGACGUCGGGCAGCAUGCUGUUCGGUGUCACACCUAACGGAUUANGCAUUCCGCCUGGGGAGUACGGCCGCAAGGUUAAAACUCAAAGGAAUUGACGGGGGCCCGCACAAGCGGUGGAGCAUGUGGUUAAUUCGAAGCAACGCGCAGAACCUUACCAACCCUUGACAUCCCUGUCGCAGAUACCGGAGACGGUUUCCAUCAGUUCGGCUGGACAGGUGACAGGUGCUGCAUGGCUGUCGUCAGCUCGUAUCGUGAGAGGUUCGGUUAAGUCCGGCAACGAGCGCAACCCACACCCUUAGUUGCCAGCAUUCAGUUGGGCACUCUAGGGGAACUGCCGAUGAUAAGUCGGAGGAAGGUGUGGAUGACGUCAAG
rnacentral:rRNA from 1 species